UCUACUCCUCUUUCUCGAUCUUUUUCCUCUCAUUUUUUAAUGUAUGUUGUCUUUCUUAUCCAAAUUCAAUUCAAAUUCUUCUUCUCCUCCUCAGUGGGUGAUGCUGAUUUUACACAGAUAGAUACUGGAUGCUGAUAAAGGGCACCGGUUGGAGAGCUCAACAAGACGAAUAGCAACUCGGGACAGAGUUCAAUUUGUGCCAAUGCGUGAUGUUCAAUUAAGGUUUGUAAAAUCUCACACACAUAUAGAACUGAUCUCAACGUUUAAGUCAUUUUUUUUAUAAUAUGGCUUUGUGUUGUCUUGUGUGCAGCGGGACAGAGAUUAUAACCCAGUUAUUACAGCUACAAUCUUUGUCCUCUCAUUAUAAUCCAGUUAUUAAAGCUACAAUCAAACCCAAAAAUCAUAUUCCACACAGUAUGAUAAAAUCAAGAAAAAAAAACCCCACCAAAAAAAAUUAAAAUAAUCUCAAAUUGUUGCAUGAUGCAGCCCCUUAUAUCCCCAUAACUCAUAAGUGGAGAUCCAUUUUGCAAUUUCAUCAUCAUUAAGAUCGAUGCUUUCCAAUUUCUAAGAAAUAUUAUGUGAAAUUAAUAGAUGCGAGAAAUCAAAAUGUUGAUUACAGAAUACGAGAUAUAAACACGAAAUUAGAGAUUUUGGGGAAGAAAGAGAACAGAGACCGAGAAAGAGGGAAGAGAAAUGGAAUAAAAUCAUUGGAAUAGGGUCCAUAAACGGAGAGAUUUAACGUUUUCUGUUACAAGGUAGUGUUACUGAAAAUAUCAAACUUAUAAGAUAGGAAAAUAUAAAAAAGUUUUUAUAAGGUAGUAAUUCACAAAACGUCCAAAUAUUAAGGUAGUAUUUCACAAAAUUUCCUAUUUUUUAAUUGAAUGAAAGAGGGUGUGGGGACAAAAAAAAUUAGUGGGAAGAGAGAGAGACAAGAUAAUAAUUAUGGAGUCAUUCCUUAUUUAGAAGUGUAACUGCUAUAAUAUAGGACUCUACAAUAUUAACACUACGACAUCAUCUUCCUCAGUUUCCGUAUCCUAUCACAUAUUUUGUUAAUUAUGAACGUUUUUCGCCAAAACACAGAAAUUUUAUUGCAGCAUUGCAGGAAGAAAAGGCACCUAAAACAUUUAAACAGGCUAUGCAACAUGAGGGAUGGCGAAAAGCAAUGUCUGCUGAAAUUGAUGCUCUUGAAGAACAAGGCACUUGAACAUUAGAGACCUUGACAGCAGUAAAGAAAGCACUUGGGAGCAAAUGGGUGUACACAGAAAAACGUGAUAAAGAUGGGAAUUUGUUGCGCCUUAAGGCAAGGUUAGUUUGUUUGGGUAAUCACCAGGAGGAGGGGUUGGAUUACAAUGAGACAUUUGCUCCUGUGGAAAAAAUGGCAACAAUUCGUACUUUCUUGGCCGUUGCCGCAAUUAAGAAUUGGGAGGUUCACCAGAUGGAUGUCCAUAAUGCAUUCUUACAUGGUGACUUAGAGGAGGAGAUUUAUAUGAAGAUUGCACAUGGAUUUCAGAAGAAUAAUUCUGAUAGAGUAUGCAGAAUGAGAAAGUCGUUGUACGGCUUGAAACAGGCUCCUCGAUGUUGGUAUGAGAAAUUGUCUACGACCCUAUUGUCUUAUGGGUACAAGCAAUCAUAUUCUGAUUACUCUUUGUUCACUCUUUCCAAAGGUUCGUUACAAUUAAGUCUUCUCAUUUAUGUCGACGAUAUGAUUAUUGCAGGAUGUUAGGUUAUGAUGCAUAUGACAAUUCAUAAAUCAUGCGGAAAAACCAUAAAGCCAGGAAAGCAUAUUAUUUACACA